rnacentral:rRNA from 1 species
UACGGAGGGGGCAAGCGUUAUUCGGAAUCAUUGGGCGUAAAGGGCGCGUAGGCGGCCUGGCAAGUCAAAGGUGAAAUCCCUCGGCCCCAACCGAGGAACUGCCUUUGAAACUGCAAGGCUUGAGGCCGGGAGAGGGUAGCGGAAUUCCCAGUGUAGCGGUGAAAUGCGUAGAUAUUGGGAGGAACACCAGUGGCGAAGGCGGCUACCUGGACCGGUUCUGACGCUGAGGCGCGAAAGCGUGGGGGAGCAAACAGG